UGUUAGCUCCUACAACUUAUUCUACAGCUGACCCAGAGCUAUUGCAGGACAGAGAAGUCAGUCACCCGGCCACCUUGUUUUAAAGAGUCAACCAUCCAGCUUCUGCAACCAUGUUAUACAACUUCGUGUUCCACAUGACUUGAGCUUUCACCAGGCUUGUGUGAUGCUCUUCCCCUGUCUCAGAGGACGAGAAACUGGUAUAAUAUUUUUAUUCCAGUGAGGGAUGCUUUGCCUUCAAUUGACUAAAAUGACAGAAUGUCUCCUGUCUACUGUGAAAAGGUGUCCACCAGACCCACGUUGAAUGUCCUGCGGGUCGGGACAUAUUUGGUGCUCAGCGUGAACUGAAGUCGGAUAGCCAGGAGGAAGAUGCCGCUCAUGGAGUGAAGGGCCUUUCCAGGUCAUACCCCAGAUGAUGGCACAGUCUUCGGUGACCCGCCGAAAAGAGCAAGACAGGUAUAAUGGUACAAGGUUCUGGGAACCUCACAGGGAAGACAGUGAACCUUGUUUACAGUACCACAUCCCAUGAUUGCAUUCAACAACAGAGAAGAGGUUUCUUGGCAUGUAAUUCCAGAAGCCACCAAAGUCAGAUGUAUGGCUACUGUUAAGGGUAGACUCCAGGCUUAAAUGUGUCCUGUCAUCUCCUUGGGGGCCUCUGCUGAAUCCUGUGCUGAAAACAUACAAACAUCUGUUCUUUCAAGUGCCAACUCUGAAGAAGUAGACUACUAAGGAGAGGAGACUCUUGGAUCUGUUGGGUUGUGUGAAAACCACCAUAGAUCUCUAGGGAUGCAGCUCUCCUGAGACAUCACUCAGGCUGAUGACUUUUCAGUUCUCCAUGCUCCUGUAAGCAACCUCUCACCCAGACACCACACCCUAGUAAACUCAUUGGCCUCCCAAGAA